rnacentral:rRNA from 1 species
GACGAACGCUGGCGGCGUGCUUAACACAUGCAAGUCGAACGGAAAGGCCCUGCUUUUUUGGGUUCCUCGAUUGCCAACCGGUUGGUAAACACUUGAUUACCCUCCCCUUACCUUUGGGAUAAUUUCGGGAACCUGGGCCUAAUACCGGUUAGAAGCUCCUGCUGCUUGUUGGGGUUGGGAAAUUUUCGGCGGUUGGGGAUGGACUCGCGGCUUAUCAGCUUGUUGGUGGGGUAGUGGCUUACCAAGGCUUUGACGGGUAGCCGGCCUGAGAGGGUGACCGGCCACAUUGGGACUGAGAUACGGCCCAGACUCCUACGGGAGGCAGCAGUGGGGAAUAUUGCACAAUGGGCGGAAGCCUGAUGCAGCAACGCCGCGUGCGGGAUGACGGCCUUCGGGUUGUAAACCGCUUUCGCCUGUGACGAAGCGUGAGUGACGGUAAUGGGUAAAGAAGCACCGGCUAACUACGUG